UUGUAAACACUGAAGUGCUACAAAAAUGUGAACUUUUAUUAAACUCCAGUGGAAGAUUGGCUGGUGUAAUAAGUGAUGUUACAGGGCUGCUACACAUGAUCUCCAAAUAUUUAAAAUCUUGAGUAGCCCAAAGGGCAAUGGAAAGCCACAUGGAGAGUGUGAUAAGACAUCGAAUCAAUGACAAGGACAUGAAUGCCAUGAAAGACCUCAACAGAUACAUGUAUGACCAGAAAAGGAGAAUUCUUCCCCUAAAUGGCCAUACACAUACAAAGGAAUUGGAAGCAUUGGUGACCAGCAGUUCCUCACCUGAAGUAAGGAGUGGAAGCGAAGAUAAAGCUGGCACAGGGGCAGUAAUAACCAAGAAGCUCAUGAGACUCCAGACAGUUUCAAACUUAAGACCACUCCAAGGAGCACAGUCUAGUGCUUCAGGCUUCCUUUCAAGUUGUCAUAAAAGCAAAUGCAGGCUGCUUACAAACAAGCAGAACAAAGCACCCUCUAAAAGACUGAAGAAAGAUUGCUCUUCAGCAACCAGGCACUAAAUUGAAAUUGCCAAGCCCCAUGAUGAGCUGGUAACAGGGAUUUGUCAAGCCCUGAUCUGCAAGCUGCUCAGGUGUUCAGCAUCAUCAGUCCUGAUGUAUGCAAGAGCUCAUGUUUCACUUCAGUAACUAUUUAAUGGACGUUCCCCAAGUCUACAGUAUAAUCCUGAUCGCUAUGAAGAACAGCGGAGUAAAAAUAAGACACGAACCCUGUCUUACAGGAGCUGCCAAUCUCAAUGGAGAAGCAGGAGGAAAAGACCUAAAGGGCUUCUGCGUUUUGCAUCCAUUGAUGAAAGAAAGAAGGCAUCCCUUCUGCAUAGGCAGAGAAGUGCAGUGGAAAAGAGACUUCUACAUGCAGAGUCAGAGGAUGUGGGUUUGAAUCUCAGAUUUAGCUUCUUUCAAGUCCCUGCUUAAAUCCCACCUUCUACAGCAAGC